rnacentral:misc_RNA from 1 species
GUUCGAUCAACGAUGCAAUCACGUACAUUUUAUUACGAAACUCGUAAAAAUAUUGAAUAUAUUUUUCAGCGAAGAGAGAAGCUCUCCGCGUUUAUUUACAAAUAUUUCAACAGAUAAAUUCACGGAAAUUCCCGUCUAGCGGUUGUUGACCAUUUUGCCAUAAAAACAAGUGCAACACCUACGUUAAUCCUGUCAAUAAGAAGAUACGGUGAAGCUACUAUGUUUCAGUGGCAGCGGAUGCGUUAAACACCUAUAAACGGUGAUAGUGCAACAGAGCAGAUUUGAUUCACUCGAGAACAGACAAAGUUCGCAACUGUAUGCCCCUUCCCUUAAUCAGCGCCUGCACGGGAGAAAAAGAGAAAACGCGGAGAAUCCUGACGAGAGAGCACGGAACGACGAAAAGGCUCCGCGGAACGUACGAGAGCGCGAGACCGGAAGUUGGGAAUGUGGGGCGGUGAUGGGCCACUUCCGGUGGUCCCCGUACACGCCUCAUAUGCCAAGUCAGUCGGACUGUGAUCACGGUGCACAGUCUCUCUUGUCUGUCGGC